rnacentral:misc_RNA from 1 species
GAUGAAGAACGUAGCGAAAUGCGAUACUUGGUGUGAAUUGCAGAAUCCCGUGAACCAUCGAGUCUUUGAACGCAAGUUGCGCCCGAAGCCGUCAGGCCGAGGGCACGCCUGCCUGGGCGUCACACGCCGUUGCCCCCCCGCGCCCCGCACCCAACUCUUUGGGAGCGACCGCGGGGCGGGCUGAUGAUGGCCUCCCGUGCGCUCCGCCGCGCGGUUGGCCCAAAUACCGAGUCCCCGGCGACGUGCGCCACGACGAUCGGUGGUUGAGAGACCUCUGUCGCAAGUCGUGCGCGCCCGUCGCGUCACGCGGGCUCGCAUAGCGCCUCGCGCCGCACCCGGUGCGGAGCUUUCAACGCGACCCCAGGUCAGGCAGGGUUACCCGCUGAAUUUAAGCAUAUCAAUAAGCGGAGGA